GAUUUAGAUUAUAAAUAUAAAAAGGAGGAAAGAAAGAGAGAAGCAGAGCAACAGUGCCAUCUAUAGGCAAAAGUGAAAAUUGGAAGACAUAAGAGAGAAAGGGGAAACUAUACACACAAAU